rnacentral:rRNA from 1 species
GACGAACGCUGGCGGCGUGCUUAACACAUGCAAGUCGUACGGUAAGGCCCUUUCGGGGUUCCACGAGUGGCGAACGGGUGAGUAACACGUGAGUAACCUGCCCACAACUUUGGGAUAACGCUAGGAAACUGGUGCUAAUACUUGAUAUGUACUCCUGCUGCAUGGUGGGGGUUGGAAAGCUCCGGCGGUUGGGGAUGGACUCGCGGCCUAUCAGCUUGUUGGUGGGGUAGUGGGCUACCAAGGCGGCGACGGGUAGGCGGCCUGAGAGGGUGAACGGCCCCAUUGGGACUGAGAUAAGGCCCAGACUCCUACGGGAGGCAGCAGUGGGGAAUAUUGCACCAUGGGCGCAAGCCUGAUGCAGCAACGCCGCGUGCGGGAUGACGGCCUUCGGGUUGUAAACCGCUUUCAGCAGGGACGAAGCUUUUUGUGACGGUACCUGCAGAAGAAGCACCGGCUAACUACGUG